rnacentral:rRNA from 1 species
UGCCAGACUCCUACGGGAGGCAGCAGUGGGGAAUCUUCCGCAAUGGGCGAAAGCCUGACGGAGCAACGCCGCGUGAUCGAAUGAAGGCCUUCGGGUUGUAAAGAUCUGUUGACAGGGACGAAUAAGCAAUGCGAAUAGUUUUGUGUAUGACGGUACCUGUUUAGAAAGCUCCGGCUAACUACGUGCCAGCAGCCGCGGUAAUACGUAGGGAGCAAGCGUUGUCCGGAAUUACUGGGCGUAAAGAGUUCGUAGGCGGUAUGUUAAGUCUGGUGUUAAAUGCAGAAGCUCAACUUCUGUUCGGCACUGGAUACUGGCAAACUAGAAUGCGGUAGAGGUAAAGGGAAUUCCUGGUGUAGCGGUGAAAUGCUUAGAUAUCAGGAGGAACAUCGGUGGCGUAAGCGCGUUACUGGGCCGUAAUUGACGCUGAGGAACGAAAGCCAGGGUAGCAAAUGGGAUUAGAUACCCGUGUAAU